rnacentral:rRNA from 1 species
AACGAACGCUGGCGGCAGGCUUAACACAUGCAAGUCGAGCGCAUCCUUCGGGGUGAGCGGCGGACGGGUGAGUAACGCGUGGGAACGUGCCCUCUUCUACGGAAUAGCCUCGGGAAACUGAGAGUAAUGCCGUAUACGCCCGCUAGGGGAAAGAUUUAUCGGAGGAGGAUCGGCCCGCGUUGGAUUAGGUAGUUGGUGGGGUAACGGCCUACCAAGCCGACGAUCCGUAGCUGGUUUGAGAGGAUGAUCAGCCACACUGGGACUGAGACACGGCCCAGACUCCUACGGGAGGCAGCAGUGGGGAAUCUUGGACAAUGGGGGCAACCCUGAUCCAGCCAUGCCGCGUGAUCGAUGAAGGCCUUAGGGUUGUAAAGAUCUUUCAGCUGGGAAGAUAAUGACGGUACCAGCAGAAGAAGCCCCGGCUAACUCCGUG